CAUGGAGGGUGAGAAUCCCGUCCGGCUGACCUUCAGGACGUUUUACGAUACGCUCUCAAAGAGUCGAGUUGUUUGGGAUUGCAGCUCGAAAUGGGAGGUAAAUUUCUCCUAAGGCUAAAUACCGGCGAGAGACCGAUAGCGAACAAGUACCGUGAGGGAAAGAUGAAAAGAAUUUUGAAAAGAAAGUCAAACAGUACGUGAAAUUGUUGAAAGGGAAACGAUUGAAGCCAGUCGUACCGACGGGAAUUCAACUUCUCGAGUGCUAAUCGUGGGUGACGUUGAGCCUCACGGCCUUCGUUGCUUGUGUUGUUGGUGCUUUUGGGGUGUACUUUUCCGUAUUGGUAGGUCAGCAUCGAUUUCGAUCGUCAUAAAAUGAUCGGGGGAAUGUAGCUUCGGUCUCGUAUCGGAGUGUUAUAGACCUUGGUAGAUGUGACGAUUGGGAUCGAGGAUUGCAACGAAUACCCUUUGGGCUAUCCGUCUGUCCUCUGAAAGUCGCUCGGGUGUCGAAAGCGUGCUUAUGGCUAUUCGAGUUGGCGGUCAACAGGUUAGAACGUGAUUAUAUUCGUUAAGGAUGUUGACGUAAUGG
rnacentral:rRNA from 1 species